GAGCCCAUCAGUAUUCCCUUGCUCCUGUNGAUUAGCGGNGGACGGCCGAGUAGAUCGUGGGCAACCUGCCUGUAAGACUGGGAUAACACCGGGAAACCGGUGCUAAUACCGGAUAAUCUCUUCCCUCACAUUAGGGAAGACUGAAAGACGGUUUCGGCUGUCACUUACAGAUGGGCCCGCGGCGCAUUAGCUAGUUGGUGAGGUAACGGCUCACCAAGGCGACGAUGCGUAGCCGACCUGAGAGGGUGAUCGGCCACACUGGGACUGAGACACGGCCCAGACUCCUACGGGAGGCAGCAGUAGGGAAUCUUCCGCAAUGGACGAAAGUCUGACGGAGCAACGCCGCGUGAGCGAUGAAGGCCUUCGGGUCGUUAAGCUCUGUUGUUAGGGAAGAACAAGUAUCGGAGUAACUGCCGGUACCUUGACGGUACCUAACCAGAAAGCCACGGCUAACUACGUGCCAGCAGCCGCGGUAAU
rnacentral:rRNA from 1 species